GCGAGGCGCAGCGGGUCCAACCGAAGUCGGGGCUCGGCCCCAGCCGCGAGGAGAGGGUGCUGAGGAGAGAAGGCGCACCCCAUAACCAGCCGAGGCUCUCCGGCCCAUCCUGGCCCCCUGCACGGGGCAAGGAGCAAGCAGGACUUUCAUCCACUGGAAAAUUUUCCUUAUGGAUAGUGU